rnacentral:rRNA from 1 species
GAUGAACGCUGGCGGCGUGCCUAAUACAUGCAAGUCGAGCGAACAGACGAGGAGCUUGCUCCUCUGACGUUAGCGGCGGACGGGUGAGUAACACGUGGAUAACCUCCCUAUAAUACUGGGAUAACUUCGGGAAACCUGCGCUAAUACCGGAUAAUAUAUUGAACCGCAUGGUUCAAUAGUGAAAGACGGUGUUGCUGUCACUUAUAGAUGGGUCUGCGCCGCAUUAGCUAGUUGGUCAGGUAACGGCUUACCAAGGCAACGAUGCGUAGCCGACCUGACAGAGUGAUCGGCCACACUGGAGCUGAGACACGGUCCAGACGCCUACGGGAGGCAGCAGUAGGGAAUCUGCCGCAAUAGGCGAAAGCCUGACGGAGCAACGCCGAGUGAGUGAUGAAGGUCUUCGGAUCGUAAAACUCUGUUAUUAGGGAAGAACAAAUGUGUAAGUAACUAUGCACUGAUUGACGGUACCUGAUCAGAAAGCCACGGCUAACUACGUG